rnacentral:lncRNA from 1 species
GUAGCUUCCACGCGGGCAGGUCCGGAAACUGAGCAUGUCUGCAAGCGCUCGGCGGCGCCGGCGGCAGCGGGGGCAGAGCUGGGCUGCGUCAGGCUGAGCCCAUUCACCUCGCGGCCGCAGGAGCUCAGCGCCCGCGCCGCGCCGCCCAGCCCCGCCGAGAGGGGCGCACUCGCCGCCGCGGGGCCCGCCGCCGCUCACCGCAGCCCCCUCCUGGCGACCCGCAAGAGGACUCAGCCGCCGGCUGCGACCACCGUGGACUCCCUCUAUGGAAGGGAAUCCUGGGAGUCCUGGCCGUCAGAGGGGUUCCCAAAUCCAAAGGGUCCAUCUCCAAGGCGUCUCUCCAGGGGUCUGCGGUUCACUCUGCUGCCCCUUGCAGGGGAUGCUGUGAUUGUUGCCCGCGGACUGGGAAGCACAAUGGCUCCAAAAGGCCAGCGGGGCCGAGAAGCAGGGACGGAGACCAGCAUUUAAGGGAUCUCUGGUGGGGGCCUCUCUGGAGUUCUCCACAUGUAAAUAUAGCGAAAAAAGAAAACACUAGGUUACUAGAAUAAACACGUCCUAAAAUUUCUAUGUAAAAACGCCCUUUUGAACAGCAAAGAUUUCACCCACCAAAACAAGGAAGCAAGAAGCUUCCACAGUGUGCAGGAUCCGAAACAGGACUGGCCCGGCGUUGGGUGAGAGUGGGGGAGGGGUUGUCGGUUUCUCCAUCCAGCUUGCCAUGUCCUAUCGUCGGUUUCACAUUUUCAGAGAGACUUUACCAGAUGCAGGAAAUGAGGAUGAAGGCAACUCUGGAAGGAUGCAAAGAAGGGAGGGCAAGCACUGUACCUACUGUCUGCUAUCUAAGAGGGCUGGUCUCAUAACUAAAAUGUCCAGUUCCUGAGAUCUUGUGUGCAACCGUCAGAAAUAGUUCAGGACAUCAAAUUGCACAGAGAAGAUUCAGAUGAAGGGAAACAAGAACUCUGUGGAAAACUGUUGGGGACAGUGGCACGGGUUGUUUUGCAAGGUGAUGUCUGUCCCGUGGAGGGACACAAGAGCGAGAACAGCAUGGUUCUAAUGGCCAGGGCAUGUCUUCUUAUUCCAUGUGACAGUGUCUGGCUGAGUUGCUAGUACGUUUUUGAAAUAUACCCUUUGAAAUAUGUUGAUUAUUCUGGGCAUCUGUAAGGUGGGAAAUUUGAAUAAAAAGACUUCUGUCAUUAUUGGCUUUUAUGGCUAUGAUUUUUUUCAGUCAUUAUUAUAAAUCAUGUGAAGGUAAAAUAAAUGAUCAUUUCAGCCAUUAAUUAUGUUCUGCACAGAAUGCUGUUCAAAUAAAACAUCAUCUGAUA